UCAGCUAGAAUUAUCUCUCUAGCAUCAUAAGUCCUGUCGUUUGAUUCCAAGAGAGGGUGGAUUUUUCUUGUGUAACCUGAUAAACGUUCUAUAUUUUUUGUUGCAUGUAGAAUGUCAGCAAAAAAGGAAUGGCUCAAACAUCUGCAAGCAUUAUUUAAGAAUGAUUAUAGUUCAAAUGGAAUUUAUACCCUUAUCCUUAUAUUCUUGGAAAAGAUCAUGGAGUUUGAGUUUACAUGUACCUGCAAUUAUAAAACGAAAAAACUCCAUGUGGGGGCAUAUUUUUUGGUUCCUGCAUUGUUGGCAUGUGCAUUGAUGGUGAAAAUACAAGUACCUGUUGAGGGCAAUACAAUAAAUAUAUCCUUGAUCUGCAAAUGCAUUUAUCCUUCCUUGAUGUGGUUCAUCAUAUUGUUUUUGGAUGGCCGGUAUUUGGCUUGUUUACAAUCAACCUGGACUGGCACUUCAAAUGGUUUACCUCUACAAUGGUGUAAGCCAGCAGACAAUGCAACAAAUCAAAUGGAUCUCCAAGAGGAAUUCAACAAUAAAAGGAGUAUUUCUCAGAUAACUGGUUUUGUUCUCCUUCUGAUAAUCGUUUUUGUUGUGGCAUAUUCCAUGUACAACGACUA